rnacentral:hammerhead_ribozyme from 1 species
GCACUGCUGAUGAGACCCAACCAGGUCGAAACGUCCGUCCGUUAC